rnacentral:tRNA from 1 species
ACUACGGUAGUCUAAUAGACAUUUGAUUUCGACUCAAAAGAACUUGUCCACAAGCCAUAGUA